rnacentral:rRNA from 1 species
UACGUAGGCGGCGAGCGUUGUCCGGAUUUAUUGGGUUUAAAGGGAGCGUAGGUGGACUGGUAAGUCAGUUGUGAAAGUUUGCGGCUCAACCGUAAAAUUGCAGUUGAUACUGUCAGUCUUGAGUACAGUAGAGGGGGGUAGAAUUCCAGGUGUAGCGGUGAAAUGCGUAGAGAUCUGGAGGAACACCAGUGGCGAAGGCGGCCUGCUGGACAUUAACUGACGCUGAGGCGCGAAAGCGUGGGGAGCAAAC